UCCUGUGUUUGGUGCAUGUAUAUUUAUAAUAGUUAGAUCUUUUGUUGAAUUGAACCCCUUACUGUUAUGUAAUGCCCUUCUUUGUCUUUUUUAUACCUGCUGGUUUAAAGUCUAUGUUGUCUGAAAUUAGGAUAGCAACCAUAGCUUUUUUCUCUUUUUCAUUUGUUGGGUGAUAUGCUUUGGCUCUGUGUCCCCAACCACAUCUCAUGUUGAAUUGUUCCAAGUGUUAAAGGAGAGGCCUGGUGGAAGGUGACUGAAUCAUGGGGGUGGACUUCCCCCUUUGCUGUUUUCAUGAUAGAGUUCUCACAAGAUCUGAUUAUUUGGAAGUGUGUAAACCCCCCCCCCCCUCACUGUCUUUCUUCUGCUCUACCAUGUGAAUAUUGUACCUGGUUCCACUUCACCUUUCGUCAUGAUUAUAUGUUUCCUAAGGUCUCACCAGCCAUGCCUCUUAUACAGCCUGCCAAACUGUGAGUUAAUUCAAUCUCUUUUCUCCAUAAACUGCCCAGUCUCAGGUAUUUCUUUCUAGCAUAUAGCAGUAUGAAAACAGACUAAUAUACUUGGUAGAUGUUUCUCCAUCCUUUUAUUUUGAAUCUAUGUGUGUCAUGGCAUGUGAGAUGGAUCUCAUGAAGGCAGCAUACUACUGGACCUUGCUUCUUAUCCAACUUGCUACUCUGUCUUAUUUAAUUGGGGUUUUUAACCUAUUUACAUUCAAGAUGACUAAAAUAGAUGAAGUCACUUCCCAAUUAUCAGAUCAUGCAAGUUGUCUCCCAGGAGAGCAGUAUACCUGGGCAGAAAGGUAAGCAACAUUCUAAGAGAGAAAGGACAGAGAUCACCAAACAUUUCCCUUUUGAGGUAAACAUGGACCAGGUGGGUGAUUAUUUUGUUAACCUAAAUAACAAAAGGGGCUCUCUAAUAUUUUUUAAAAGCUACUUAUUUGGAAAUAGGAUACUGCAAUGGGGAUAAUCCUGCCAUAACAAACUAUACGCAUAUUCAGAGAAUAAAGAAGACAAAGGUUUUUUUAAAUAAAAAAUGAGGAGGAUUACAUAAUUGUUUUAAAAUUGUUAUCUUUGGAUACAAAGAUGAAUAAUAAGGGUGACUAGAGUCUGUGGUUGGACAGACAGUUGCUCAAUAGAUGUCCUUGCAGAAGUAUUUUUUUAGUAAGGUUGCAAUGUCCUUUGUACAAGAUUGUGUUUUUUGCAGAGUUUUUUUGUGAGAGUUUUUGUUAUCAAUCAUACAAGCAUAAGAACAUUCUCUUCAUAGCCUUUCUGGCUCCAUUUGCAAGGACAAUUUUAACAUUAAUGACUCCAUUUUAACUUUGACAACCUCCGAAAUUUUCAGUAAUAGCUGUGAUAAACCCAGCCUAAAUCCUUUUUAAUGCAACUUUGCUGCUCUGACAUAUGAACAGUAGCUGUAGAAAGACAAAUGUCUCAAAAAUAACUGUGAGUACAGCUUUGCAAAUAUUUCAUCUAGAAAUACCUCAAAGUAUUCUUGAGGGAGGCUUGCCAGCAAAAGCAGAACCAUUCUAGGGUAAAGGAGAUUAAAUGGUUCAAAUUCCAUAAAUGUCUUUGGGUCCCCAACUUUUUACAGGUAAAUAAGCUGGCUGAGAAAGCUAUCCAAUGGACUGGGUAGCUUCUUUUAUAGAGCAAUAUAUAAGAAAUGCCCAAGGCUCCAAUUGCAUAGCAUAACAAGGCCAUGAUUAAGGAUUAUUUACUACUUAUGAAGUAAAUUGGUCUAUUGCAGUCAUCUUUUUGUAUCCUUUGGGGGAUUGCUUCCAGAACCCAACUCCUUCCCCUAGGUACUGAAAUCCAUGAAAUCUCUAGUACCUUAUUUAAAAUAGCAUAGAAUGUGCAUAUGAUCUACAUCCCCCCACAUACUUCAAAUCAUCUCCAGAUUACUUAUAAUACCUAAUACAACACACACAUAUUAAUUCAUUGAAUGGAUUCAAUGUAGUACUUGGCAAACGGCAAAUUUAAGUUUUGUUUUUUUUUAAUUUUGUGUAUUUUUUUCUAAAUAUUUUUGAUCCUUGGUUUGUUGAAUUCAUGAAUGCAGAACACAUGGAUAUGGGGGCCAAACUGUAUAUCUAGCAGGUUUUCAGAAUUUUUUUGGAGGAGUGAUUGCUGUGUACCCUCCAUUCUCCCUUCUUUUGAAUAGGAGUAUUGUGAUAACAUCUCCCUUUCUCUUCAUUACAUGUUGAGAAUGUGUGGGAAGAUGGCUUGCAUUUUGAAUUCACAGAUCUAUGAAUUAAGAGAGGAGCUGCAUUUUAGAAGUUUAUCUCAAUAUGAAGUAAUACCAAGAUUUUGGACUUUGAACAUGAUGCCAUGCUUACAUAAGACUUUCAGAGUUCUUAGGGUCGGUGAGUAUAUUUUGCAUGUAGCAUUGAUAUGAUUAAUUGCAGCAAACUAAGAGCUAUCAUGUAUUGGUUGUACCAAUGGCUGUACUUAUUUCUCUUCCCACAUGCAUGCCACUUUUCAAUAUGAUUUUGUAGCUCCUUGCAUUAAAAUUCUGGAAUUGCCUUCUCAUUCACUUUGAACAAUAAAAUUAUGUGGAAGUGACACUGAGCUGGUUCUAAGCCAAAGCCUAAAAAAAUAUGACUAUUGCCUCUCCAUCUUUUGGAAAUCUACACAAUCACAUGAGUUGAAGCCAACGCUAACCUACUGGAUUAUAAGUGGUACAUGGCUCAAUCACCUCCAUCAUCUGAGCCAUCAGUCAUCUUAAGAGUUAGAAAACCUACUAAUAUGCUGUUGACUUCAAACAUACAUAUGAAGAAGUCCUGCUGAGGCCAGUUUAAAUUUUAGACCAACAGAAUCAUAGGCUAAUGAAAUGGAUGUUUUAAAUCACUAAACAUUGUGAUAGUUUUAUUUUCAGCAAUAUUGACUGAUACUGAUAAUGACUGACGGAUUGAAAUAGUUUCAGAUUAGGUGUGCUCUCAGGAAAGGGCACAGGAAUGAAUAAAGAAACUCACCAUGAGAAUAAGUAAUGACUUUGCGGGUGACCCAGGUACAAUAACUGAGCCAAUUAUUUUAAAGUAAAGUUAGCUGCAGUGGCACAAUGUGGCUGAGUUCAGCAUAGUUUUCCCUCUGGCUAUCCUGACAUUACUGAGCAUGCUAUAGACAUGUGAAUAAAAAGCUGAAAAAUAAAAUAUGACAUUAUUUAAAGUAUCAUCUAAUGAUGGCACAAGGCUUAAAUGUUACCCUAAAGAGAAAGACCUCCUCCUCUUACCACUUCCCCAUGAGGAAAUAUGCUAACCUCACUAACUUGGUCAUUACUAGAAUAAAUAAUAAAGUAGGGACUUGUGAAAACUUUCUAUUUAUGGCAACAAUAGCAUAUGGCCACAACAGCAGUAAAAUGACAAAUGUUAGGGGAAAUUAUUAGACCUUCAGAUGUUCUUUCCUUGUCCUAUGGGCACUCUUCCCUGUUCCUCUCACUAAGUAUAGUAUAGUAUAGUAUAGUACUUCGUGAGAGAAACAGGCAAGAGUGCCCGUAAGACAAGUAAACACAAUUUUAGAACUUUAAAAGGAAAAAUCAAACCACCUACUUGUAUUUGUUCAUUGCUAGUCUCACCUCAGCUCCUUGAACUGAAUCUGGCUAUUAGCAUAUAUUCCAAAAAUAUUUGUUGAAUGAAUGUUCAUAAUAUAUGAUAUAAUGAAUGUUCAUAAAUAUAUGAACAUUAAAAAGUGAUAUGAUCUUCCUUUGAAUUUUAUACUGGUGAGAUAAAAACAUUAAUCAUAAUAACAAUAUGCAAGUUAUGUAAGGCUAUAAAAAUAAUCAUUUUCCUAAAACAAUAAAAAUAUACAGUUUUUUAUACUUGGUACUUCAAAAAGUACCAAAAUAUACAUUGCUAAUCCAAUUAUAAAUGAAACUGUAUUAAGUAUCCAACACUGUGUCAAGAAAUAGAUAUCAUUUUCCCUAUUUUAAAAACAACAAAAAUUAGAAGAGAUUAAGUGGUUUACUCAAGGGCAAAUAAUUAGUCAAUCAUGGAUUUUGAACUCAGAUCCUGAUAUGGUUUUGUUCUGUGUCCCCACCCAAAUCUCAUCUCAAAUUGUAAUCCCCAUGUAUCAAGGGAGGAACCUGGUGGAAGGUGAUGGAAUCAUGGGAGUGGUUUCCCCAUGCUUUUCUCAUGAUAGUGAGUGAGUUCUUAUGAGAUCUGAUGGUUUAAAAGUGUUUUGCACAUCCGCCCACCCCCAAUACUGCUGCCAAGUAAGAUGAACCUUACUUCCCCUUCGCCUUCUCCCAUUAUUGUAAGUUUCUUGAGGCCAUCCCAGCCACUCAGAAUUCUGAGUCAAUUAAACCUCUUUUAUUUAAAAAUUACCAAGUAUCAGGCAGUUCUUCACAGCAAUGUGAAAACAGACUAAUACAUAAAUUGGUACCAGGAAGGGGGUACUGCUAUAAAGAUAAACUGAAUAUGUAGAAGUGACUUUGGAACUGGGUAACAGGCAGAGGUUGGAAUAGUUUGGAGGGUUCAGAAGAAGACAAGAGUAUGCGGAAAAGUCCUAGAGACUUGUUGAAUGGUUUUGACCAACAUGCUGCUAGUGAUAUCGACAAUGAAGUCCAGCCUGAGGUGGUCUCAGAUGGAGAUGAGGAAAUUUUUGGGAACCAGAGUAAAAGGUCACUCUUGCUAUGUUUUAGCAAAGAGACUGGUGGCAUUUUGGCCUCACCCUAGAGAUCUGUGGAACUUUGAACUUGAGAGAUUGUUUAGGGUAUCAGUUGGAAGAAAUUUCUAAGCAGAAAACUGGCAUUUUCUGAAAGUGUAGUCCCAUAUGUGGAAACACAGAGGUUAUCUGAAACUGGAAAUUUUGUUUAAAAGGAAAGCAGAGCAUAAAAGUUUGAAAUAUUUUGGCCUCACCCUAGAGAUCUGUGGAACUUUGACCUUGAGAGAUUGUUUAGGGUAUCAGUUGGAAGAAAUUUCUAAGCAGAAAACUGGCAUUUUCUGAAAGUGUAGUCCCGUAUGUGUAAACAAAGAGGUUAUCUGAAACUGGAAAUUUUGUUUAAAAGAAAAGCAGAGCAUAAAAGUUUGAAAUAUUUGCAGCCUGACCAUUCAGUAGAAACAAAAAACCCAUAUUCUAGGGAGAAAUUCAAGUCAGAUGCAUAAAUCUGCAUAAAUAAUGAGGAGCUGAAUGUUAAGACAAUGGGAAAAGUGUCUCCAGGUUAUAUGAAAGAUCUUUGUGUCAUCCCCACCCAUCACAGGCCUGGAGACCUAAGAGGGAAAAAUGGUUUUGUGGGUCAGGCCAGGGCCUAGCUGCUCUGUGCAGGCUUAGGACAUGGUGCCCUGAAUCCCAGCUGCUCCAGCUCCAGCCAUGGCUCAAACAAGCAAAAGUGCAGCUCAGGUCGUUGCUUCAGAGGGUACAAGCCCCAAGCACUGGCAACUUCCAAGUGGUGCUGGGCCUGUGGGCAUGCAAAAGACAAGAGGUGAUCUUUGGGAACUUCUGCUUAGAUUUCAGAGGAUGUAUGGAAAGGCCUCAAUAUCCAAGCAGAAGUCUGCUGCAGGGGCAGAGCCCUCAUGGAAAACCUCUACUAGGGCAAUACAGAGGAGAAAUGUGUGGUUGGAGCCCCAACACUGAGUGCCCAUUGGGGCAGUGCCUAGUGGAGCUGUGAGAAGAUGGCCACCAUCCUCCAUACACCAGAAAGGUAGAUCCAUUGACAGCUUGCACUGUGCACUUGGAAAAACAGCAGACACUCAAUGCCAGCCUGUGAAAGCAGUCAUGGGGUAUGUACCCUGAAGAGCCACAGAGGCAGAGCUGCCCAAGUCCUUGGGAGCCCACCCCUUGUAUCAGCAUGCCUAAGUGUGAGACAUGGAAUCAAAGGAGGUCAUUUUGGAGCUUUAAGAUUUAAUUGCUGACCCACUGGAUUUUGGAAUUUCAUGAAGCCAGUAGCUCCUUCAUAUUGGCCAAUUUAUCCCAUUUGGAAUGGGAGCACUUAUCCAAUGCCUAUACACCCAUUGUAUCUUGGAAGUUACUAACUUGCUUUUGAUUUUACAGGUUCCUAGGUGGAAGGGACUUGCCUUGUCUCACAUGAGAGUUUGGAUUGCAGACUUCUGAGAUAAUGCUGAAAUGAAUUAAGAGUUUGGGGUACUGGUUGGGAAGGCACGAUUGGUUUUGAAAUGUAAGAGGACAUGAGAUUUGGUCGGGGCCAGGGGUGGAAUGAUAUGGUCUGGCUCUGUGUCUGUACCCAAAUCUCAUCUUGAAUUGUAAUUCCCAUGUGGCAAAGGAGGGACCUGGUGGGAGGUGAUUGAAUCAUGAGGACAGUUUCCCUCAUGCUGUUCUCAUGAAAGCAAGUGAGUUCUCAUGAGAUCUGAUUGUUUAAAAGUGUUUGGCAGUUCUUUUUCUUCUACUCCUUCUCUCUCUCUCUCUCUUUCUCUUUCGCUCUCUCUCCUGCCACCAUGUAAGACGUGCCUUGCUUCCCCUUUACCUUCUGCUGUAACUGUUAAGUUUCCUGAGGCCUUCUCAGCCAUGAAGAACUGUGAGUCAAUUAAACCUCAAAUGGGCUAAUACAGAUCCCUUGCUGUUCUUAUCACAGUAGCCCAUAAAUGAUGAGAGAAAAUAGUUUCUUAUUGAAAAUAUCUAAUGCUUGCUGUUUAAAGUUGACAAAUGGUAGAGCACAACUUGAUCAUUUGUACAUAACAUUUAAGAAAAUGUGGUAAUUUCAGUUUUAUGUUGAACAAACAUACCUGGGUAAGCAGUGAACCUGCAUUUUGGAUUCAGUUCUGAUAAAUAUAAUUAUGUAAUAACAAUAAGUAAACCACUUAAACUUUCUGGAAUACCUCUUUCCUCAUCUUUAAAAUGAACAGAGUAAGGUUUUCAACUCUAGUUUUUUACACACAGGCUUAUUUAAAAUUACAAUGUGCAAAACAAAUAGAAAUAUGUAUGCUAUGCUUGAAGGUAGCAAAGCAGAAGAAAUUUCUAACCUAAUCCCCAUAUUACAAUUUCCUCAGGGAUGACUACAGCAUCUACAAUGAACCAGGGUUCAGUUGGAACUAUCCUAAAAUGGUCAUAACCAGGGAUCUUCUAAAGUUCAUUUUAGUCAUAGGUGUGUUUUAUAUGGCAGUUAAAACUCUAUGAGAUCUGUAUUGGUCAUGUAUUGCAUGUAUUGCUGCAUGACAAAUUAUCUCAAAUUUAUGGCUUAAAACAACAAAGACUUAGUAUUUCACAAGCUAUGUGAUUCAGGAAUCUGGGAAUGGCUUAGCUGGGUAUAUUUGGCUCAGGAUAGCUCAAAAAGCCAUAGACAAGCUGUGGUCCUGGGUUGAAUUUAUUAAUAUCGCAGGGCUUGAUUCAGGCUGGAGGAUCUGCUUAUAAGCUCAUUCACGUGGCUAUUAGAAGGUCUUAGAAUAUGUAAUUCCAAACUUACUAACAUGGUUGUUACAGCCUUAAUUCUUUGCCAUGUAAGUUUUUCCAUAGAUUAUUCAAGUAUUUUUAUCAUAUGGCAGCUAAGGAUUUGAGAGUGUGCUAGAGAACACUUAAGGUGGAAGGCACAGUGGUGGCAAAAUCUAAUUUCAGAAGUGAAAUUGUAUCAUGUUCGCUGUAUUCUAUUCACCAAACACAUGCCACUAAGUCCAGCUCAUACUCACAGGGAUAAAAACAAAACUUCAUGUCUUGAAGGUAGAUGCAUCAAAUAAUUUGUGUACAACUGUUUAAAACCAUUGAAAGACCUGAUGGUGAAUUUUACUGGAGGCAGCUGCAUUCCUCAGGUGAUAUGAUUAUAAGCAAAAAAAGGUCAAUCUUUCUGAUAGAGAAUGUGAAAGUAAAUAAAUAUUAUUUAUAUUAUUUCAUGACGAGAUGCCACUUUGACUAAGCCAUAAAUGCAAAACCCCUAUUCACUCUCAUGCAUGAACUUACCUGAUCUCCAACAUAUUAUAUUUAAAUGAAUAUCAAUUAAAAUUCGACUAAUUUAUCAUUACUCAAUCCUACUCAAACUAUUCAGAAUCACUGAGUUCCAUAUAGAAAUAUCUCAAGAUCUCUACAUUAUAUUGAUGCCACAUUACCUUUGAAUGCUAAAUCCCCAACUAAUCUUUUCCUAAACAUUACUUAAUACUUUGCAAUAUAUCUGUCCUGCUAUUCAGUAAUCAACAUUCUGAGUAAUCCCUAGUAUUUUAAAAAGUCAAACAGCAACGGAAAAAUUGUUUCCCUUAGGAAUCUUAGAGGUGAACAAUCUGAAAAAAAAAUGAAUUAUAUUCAGGUUUUGAAAUGUGUUUCUCUUAAUGUACAUAUGAGUCACUAUCUUCUUUGAUACAUAUAAAUGGCAAAUGCAAUGUAAUAUAUAUUCUGCAAUUUCUGUACCACUUUUAUUAAGUACUAUUCAAAGUGCAAAAAUUGUAGUAAUUUCAAACAUGAUUUAUAAGGUUAUAUAUACAAAAAAAUUUGCAAUUUAAGUGGUUGAAAGGGAACAAUGAGCUCAUAUUUUAUAUUGAUAUAACAAUAAAGUCUCUUAGGAUUUAUUAGUAUUGGUAUCCUUGUCCUUCAAGUCCCAGUUAAAAUGGUAAGUUCCUUAUAAAAUUUUCUUCCCAGUAUAAUUACUUUUUUUUGUACUCUCUCUCAUCUCACUUGUACUUACAACAGUUAUCUCAUUGCAAUCCAGCACUCACUAGACUACAAGUUUUGUGAAUGUUGAGAAUGUGUUCUUAUAUCUCUUACUUUAAUAACUGUAAUACAAUUAUUUAUUUACAUAUCUUCAGCUCUAUCUUUGAAGUUUCUGUGCAAAACUAAGCUAAUCACCCAAUAAAUUUAAUAAUAAAACUACCAGAUAAACCAUCCAUAGUUGUAUUAGAAAAAAUUAAAAUUCUUUUUUGUAACAAACAAUCCCAAAUUCUCAACGGCUUAAAGCAAUGAAGGUUCAUUACCUAUUCAUUCCACAAGUCCAGUCCAGACCUAAAGGAGAGGUCAAUUUAUCGUCAUCACUAGGAGUGAUGGAAGAUGCUGGCAUUGCAGUACAAGGUUUCAGGAUUCAUCACAACUGGGUAAGAGAGCAUGAAGGAUCACUUAUCAGGUAUCAAGAGCUUCCACCUCCAAGUGGCACACACUACUUUUGUUCACAUUGCAAUGACCAUGAAACAAAUCACAUAUUCACAGCUGACUUCAAGACACUGUGUGGCCAGAAUGAAGAGUCAAAAUCCUGGUGACCACUAGUGAUGGCCUCUGCAAUAGUCAUUACAUAGUAUAGUAUAUAAUCUAUACACAGUUAAUGAAGAAAGACAAUCAGAGUAGUGAGCCAGAGCAUACAUGAUUAAUAUAAGUCAUUUAUAUGGAAGUUGGCUUAUUUUAAAAUAAUUUAUCACAAAUUUUAUUGUUUUAACUUGUAUCAUGACAUUAAAUGUAUGUAUAUAAUAUAUAUAGUAAAUAGUCAUCAUUGGAAGAAAAUAAUUUAAGAGCUAUGACAUAGAAAAUACAACAACGUUUUAUAGUAAUGAUUUUCUGUACUCUUAUAGUAUUACAAAUAUCUAUUUAUCUAAUCUUUAAAUAUUAAAUUUAAAAUAUUCUUCUAGUUGCCCUUCUUUUUCUAAUUUCCUGCCUCUGGUUUAUAUUGGAUCACUGGGUCCUGCCUAGAUACCAUUUCAUCAUUUCUCUGAUUUAGGUCCGCUUUUUCAACCAUAUUAAAAGAGUUCUUGUAUUUUCUAAGUAACCAGUUACAGAAAAAGUACGAUAAAUUAACAUAUUCAGCUCUCAUAUACAUGCACAAAUGUAAAUCUUUGUCUUGAAACUCAUAGAAAACAUUUUUCAAAGCAAAAGGAGUUAUGUUGAAUCUUGAAAAAUAAUGUCAUGAUUCUUAGUUGUUUUUGUUUAUUGCAUUUAACUUUUUGUUAUUUCUCUUUAGUUCAUAAUAGAUUCUAAUUUGGCAUAAUGAACAUUAUACCCACU
rnacentral:lncRNA from 1 species